rnacentral:rRNA from 1 species
UACGUAGGUGGCAAGCGUUGUUCGGAAUUAUUGGGCGUAAAGGGCGCGUAGGCGGUUUGUUAAGUCGGUUGUGAAAGCCCGGGGCUCAACCCCGGAGAGUCGACCGAUACUGGCAGACUAGAGUACAGAAGAGGUAGCUGGAAUUCCUGGUGUAGCGGUGAAAUGCGUAGAUAUCAGGAGGAACACCUGAGGCGAAGGCGGCCUUCUGGACAGUGACUGACGCUGAGACGCGAAAGCGUGGGGAGCAAACAGG